rnacentral:rRNA from 1 species
CGGAUGAAGGGAGCUUGCUCCUGGAUUCAGCGGCGGACGGGUGAGUAAUGCCUAGGAAUCUGCCUGGUAGUGGGGGAUAACGUCCGGAAACGGGCGCUAAUACCGCAUACGUCCUGAGGGAGAAAGUGGGGGAUCUUCGGACCUCACGCUAUCAGAUGAGCCUAGGUCGGAUUAGCUAGUUGGUGGGGUAAAGGCCUACCAAGGCGACGAUCCGUAACUGGUCUGAGAGGAUGAUCAGUCACACUGGAACUGAGACACGGUCCAGACUCCUACGGGAGGCAGCAGUGGGGAAUAUUGGACAAUGGGCGAAAGCCUGAUCCAGCCAUGCCGCGUGUGUGAAGAAGGUCUUCGGAUUGUAAAGCACUUUAAGUUGGGAGGAAGGGCAGUAAGUUAAUACCUUGCUGUUUUGACGUUACCAACAGAAUAAGCACCGGCUAACUUCGUGCCAGCAGCCGCGGUAAUACGAAGGGUGCAAGCGUUAAUCGGAAUUACUGGGCGUAAAGCGCGCGUAGGUGGUUCAGCAAGUUGGAUGUGAAAUCCCCGGGCUCAACCUGGGAACUGCAUCCAAAACUACUGAGCUAGAGUACGGUAGAGGGUGGUGGAAUUUCCUGUGUAGCGGUGAAAUGCGUAGAUAUAGGAAGGAACACCAGUGGCGAAGGCGACCACCUGGACUGAUACUGACACUGAGGUGCGAAAGCGUGGGGAGCAAACNAGGAUUAGAUACCCUGGUAGUCCACGCCGUAAACGAUGUCGACUAGCCGUUGGGAUCCUUGAGAUCUUAGUGGCGCAGCUAACGCGAUAAGUCGAC